rnacentral:misc_RNA from 1 species
AAGACGAUGAUGAUGAUGAUGACGGUGGUGGUGGUCCUGAUGAUGAUGAUGGUGGUGGUGAUUCCAACACGGAAGACGAUAGGGAUAACAAUGAAAAGGCUGAGGAAGCUGAUGAUGGGAACAAAGACCGUAGUAAUUGUAAGAGUGAUCCGCUUAUCGCAGACCAUGUUAGAGUCCUCUGGAUGGAUGAGUCUGAGUCUACAGAGAGUAUUAAUAAUGUCAUAGU